rnacentral:rRNA from 1 species
CAAGGCAUCUGUGAAGGUGCUGCAUGGUCGUCGUCAGCUCGUGCCGUGAGGUGUCGGCUUAAGUGCCAUAACGAGCGCAACCCUUGUUGUCAGUUACUAACAGGUUCCGCUGAGGACUCUGACAAGACUGCCAUCGUAAGAUGUGAGGAAGGUGGGGAUGACGUCAAAUCAGCACGGCCCUUACGUCCGGGGCUACACACGUGUUACAAUGGGGGGUACAGAGGGCCGCUACCACGCGAGUGGAUGCCAAUCCCCAAAACCUCUCUCAGUUCGGACUGGAGUCUGCAACCCGACUCCACGAAGCUGGAUUCGCUAGUAAUCGCGCAUCAGCCACGGCGCGGUGAAUACGUUCCCGGGCCUUGUACACACCGCCCGUCAAGCCAUGGGAGCCGGGGGUACCUGAAGUGCGUAACCGCGAGGAGCGCCCUAGGGUAAAACUGGUGACUGGGGCUAAGUCGUAACAAGGUAGCCGUACCGGAAGGUGC